rnacentral:rRNA from 1 species
CCUACGGGAGGCAGCAGUAGGGAAUCUUCCACAAUGGGCGCAAGCCUGAUGGAGCAACACCGCGUGAGUGAAGAAGGGUUUCGGCUCGUAAAGCUCUGUUGUUGGAGAAGAACGUGCGUGAGAGUAACUGUUCACGCAGUGACGGUAUCCAACCAGAAAGUCACGGCUAACUACGUGCCAGCAGCCGCGGUAAUACGUAGGUGGCAAGCGUUAUCCGGAUUUAUUGGUCGUAAAGCGAGCGCAGGCGGUUGCUUAGGUCUGAUGUGAAAGCCUUCGGCUUAAUCGAAGAAGUGCAUCGGAAACCGGUCAACUUGAGUGCAGAAGAGGACAGUGGAACUCCAUGUGUAGCGGUGGAAUGCGUAGAUAUAUGGAAGAACACCAGUGGCGAAGGCGGCUGUCUGGUCUGCAACUGACGCUGAGGCUCGAAAGCAUGGGUAGCGAACAGGAUUAGAUACCCCUGUAGUC